GAAAUGGAGAAGGGAAAAAGGAGGAGAAGAAGAAGGAAAGGAAGUGAACGAACUACCAAGAAUCAUGCACAACUUGAGGUAAGUAUGGUAAGCAUGGAAAGAAGAUGUGUAAAAUAAAGUAAGGAGAUUGAAGUGGAGAAUCAAACAUUUAUGUAUUAUAUUAUGUUAUGUUAUGUAAUAAUCCUCUCUAUAUGUUGAUGUGUGUAUAAUGAUAUGUAAUAAUGAAUGAUGAUAUUGGCAUGUAAAGAUGAGUAUAAUAAAGCAUAAGAAUAAUUUAUGAAAUGUUAGAAUGGUUAUUUGUA